rnacentral:lncRNA from 1 species
CUUUGGAUAUCCUUGUAUCUCAUGAGUUGGCCACAUAUGACCCUGCGGAAGACAAGUACAGUCUACCAUGAAGUGUAUUCGUCACCGGAGGAUCCAGACCAACAACACGCAAUUAUGAUGCGUGCUAUAUUAAGUCGUGUCAAUAAAGAAAAUGCGAGGGGAGUGUCCGCACACCUGAUCGCCUGAUAGCAUGUCCGGCGUCAUAUCCCCAUCGCAUCAGUGUUGUUUCAUGUUAUAAUUAUGUAACGCUAGUUAAUCUAGAAGUACGUAUUGCGUAUCAGUGGUCAUGUGUGACCCGCGUCUAAAUCGCCUUGUAUCGUUAUUAUUUACUGUUUCGCCUAUGCCUUAUCCCGGCAACAUAUUAGGUGUAUUCGGGCGUCCUGCAUUUUUGGCGUCCGUUAUGGAUUGUAAUGAUGUUUGUCGAAGUUUGAAUAAUGUUGUGUCUCUACAACUAGCAUCAUUUGUUGUUUUUAGUGGUCACCUUAUGUUCUUCCAACCGAUCGAAGCAGAUCUUGCACAUCCUACAUGCAUGAUCCCGAAGAAAGCCGUUGACCUCAUUGAGAGCAAUGCGGGCGUCUUGGACAAUUCAGGCGUCAUCCUUCUGCAUGAUGAUGUAGGAGCUCAUGUAACGACAUCGUUCAAGAAAUCAAAAGAUGGCAGGCUCGUCAUUCAAGGAGGUUUUCGGAAGUAUGUCGAAAAUCUCGAAAUGAAGUAAGAUGAUAUUGUGGUCAUCACUUUUCACAAACGCGCUGGUUCUGCGUCCAUGACCGUCCGGGUGUGCAUCUUAUCCUAAAACACCUACGUCGUGCUAGUGUCUGUUUAAGGCAGCUUAUUAGUCCCUAUGUGCCUCCCCGCUGAUCGUGCAGCAUCUCAAUGCCUGCCCUUUUGUGAGAACUCAUGAACCUGGAACAUGUAACCUUCUGUGUUGGUAUGUGACUAUGUGACUUUUCCACCUAUGCAUGUCCGUUGACUAUAUUUCCGAUCCAUUGGCAUAUUUUCUACUAAUGGCGAUCUGCUCUGCAUUGCUAAACUAUAAUUUCCCAUGGCUGUAUGUUUAAGUUGGAUGCAACGCACGUAAUGACAUGAAUGGAAUUUGUGAUUUGUGUUGCAACGUCGGAAAUUCUUCUUACAUGAUCACAGCGCGUAUGAUAUGUUCAUCACUGGUAUAUAACCCACAUCCCUUCCAUCCAUAUUGUCAUAAUACGCAUCAUGUGCCCGGCACAUGUGUCCGCAUAUCUUGUCCUUGGCACGUACUGUUUCGCAGUUGAACCCAGACCGUGCCUACUCUUCUUGUACCUUGUACAUGACACCCGGACGACUCAUCUUGUACCUCGUACAUGGCAUCAGGAUCACUCAUGCUUGGUACACGACACUUGAUUGUAGUAUACUCCACAUGCACGUGAUCGCAAGGCCAGCCCAAUAUGUGCCAGGUACAUGUUUCCGACUUGACUACGAAUUGACCGUCCUAUGGAAACGUAACUGUUGGCCUAUGACAUCGGAAUUUCGUUUACAAUCUAACAUCACACAUAUAUUCAAAGCAAUGAAAAUCAUGCAAACUGGUCGUCCAUAUCUUGACAUCCAUACCAAGCAAUUUAUAUAUUUAGUCGUCUCCGAAUACAUUAGCUCACACAUAACCUUCGAACCCAUUCGUUGGUUUGACAGCAUAAUAUAUAGGUCCACCAAGACAUUCUAGUGCAUUAACAUACAAACGUUUGGGACCCAUACAGAUACGGUCCCAUGCAACAUGUGCCCCUAACAACAUUCGCCCCUUACAUUCAUUCGAGACUCAAUUUUGUAUCAUUCAUCGAUAGACUCGAUGAACUGAUGUGACCUCUUUGCAUUGUUCCCCUUGAGAUGUAGAAUGUUGUAAAGGUAAUAUGCCGCCAGAGAACUGUCAUCGUCCUGGAUAUGAUUGCGGAAACGUGAUCAAAACAGUAGUAACAAAUGAUUCAGGUAAUUUGAACCUGUGAUGUCCUAUUCUAUCUUUUUGGUCUUAACGACUACUAAAUUAGCAUACUUACCACAUGAAUAUUAUCUGUCUCUUGGUCACCGAUGAAGUUCCUGCAGAAGUUCAUGGUGUAAAACCCAGAUAGGUGCCUGCAAUGACGAUACGUAAAUAUGAUGAAUUUCUUGAAUCACGGAAAAUUCAACGGUAUAUCGUAGUAAUAUAUAACAAUUUCUUCCUAUGACUGGAAACACUUGUUUCGAGAAAUGGAUGUAACUGGAUGUAUUCUGGUUCUAUUUACGACCAUUUGUAUCCAUUUUUUCGACAAGUACUUACUGACGAAGGGAUUAAUAUUGAACGUGUCCUUAUCGCAAGAGAAACCAUGAGAAUUCAUUGAUUACCUUUCAGACACUUGACGUUUAGGAUGAAUAAUAGCCGGUUCUAAAUCACCGAACCCGAAGUCCCAAGAUUCAAAAUAUGUUUUUGCAAACUCAGACAUAGCAGACUUCAACAGGUUGCAGUUUCUCAUAUGUAGCUGUUUGAUUGCUCCACCAUUCUCCGAUGCUAAUGUCGGGUCAUAGAUGAACACCUUCUUUUUAAUUGUAUGUAUUGCAUAACAUACCCAAGCGAAGCUGACGUAGGCCGGAAACAUAAUCUGCAUCGCAAUUAAAUAUCCGUUGGACAAAAAAUUACUCAAUUUUUCAUUCCAACAUGAAAAAAAUUGUAUGCCUGCUCAUAUUCCAGGAUACAUUUUACAUACCAGCAUACAAUUUGGUACGUCAUAGGUGAUAUGAUCUCCAAUGAACUGACCCCGAAUGGAUUUAUGCUGACAUGGCAUAUCUCCUGCCAUCACACGCAUCUGCCAAAAGGGACAAAGUAGCAAGUAGUGUCCGUAAACCUUGUGUCCUUCUCAAAUACAAAAUAGUCUUGAAUAAUCUUAUAAACGGAUGUCGGUGAGGACGACCUUGUCUGCUCACCGAGGUACCAGUAGGGAGGAACAGAGUCAGCUACUGAACUUGCAGGAGUGCCCAAAUUGUCCGAAGGACAUGCGCUGGGGGUGUGUGAUGACUGAUUUGGUCCUUGACCAUCACUACUCCCACCCGCAAUGCCAUCAUUUCGCCAUGAUCCGCAUGAUGAUGUAACACCUUGAGAUCCGUUGUUAAUGUCAGCAGCAUCCCCAUCCGAUAUAUAUUCGAAUAAAGCAUAACCACCAUCUUGAUAUCUAGAGCUGACACUCUUAUUCUUGCCCACCUUUGGUGACGGGGUGAAAUCCAAACCGAAAUCAAAACUCGGCUCAUUGUCCCAGCGAACCGUGUUCACACGUUACCUAACAUCCAUUGUGUUCCCCUCAGGAGUACUAGCCAGCAGGUCGGCCACAUUGAGAUCGACAUCCAUCUCAGAAUUAGACCUCAGCCCCCACCAUGUUGCGAUGCUACUGCGUUGCUUGUUGCAUCGAUAUCCACACGAGGGCGUUUAUUUUGCAUAUGGAGAACGAAAGCUUCAUCGUUCCUCUUUUCUGGGAUGCUCACAUUUGCGAUCCAACAUAUAAAACUGAUGUCAACAACUUAUUAGUUUUACACACGUAUACAUAUGGGAUGCAUGCUAACAAGACUAAUAAAAAUUACGUGUCUGACAUGUCGUAACACGUACCAUCAGAAGCCAUAUCAGCCUCCACUGUUGACGAUUUCGUGGCAUUGUUGUCUCUACUUACAAUCGUCGACCCGGAUGCAUGCAUUACACCCUUAUUACGUGUGAAGUUGUUGUCAUUCAACAUUCUGUAUAUCUUCCCAUAAAAUUUUGCAUUCAUAACUUCAACAUGUUUAAUGAUGCCCUCUUGGUGUGCUUUCAGCUCAUUAUAUAGGUUAAGUUUGGCCUGCACACAGAUCAGUCAUAUGGUUUCAGAAAAAUGUAUGCCAUCAAUUAAAAAGGACUGGCUCUACGACAACGCACAAAUAUGAUGUGAAACACCGCUGCGGUCAGGAAUGUCAGCUGAUGCGUCAAGCCCAUAGCAUCACAAAUCUUGGUUGCACAUGCCCAAGCAUCCCCCCUUGUUGCGCAUUAUCUUGGUCAUCUGCCCUGGAAUAUGCUGAACUAUCAGCAUCACAUGGCUGCAAAACGAAACACAUAUAAAAGAUGAGUAUGCCCUAUCAGCGAAGUUGCGGUGCUAAUCUGGAUACUGAACUGGGUGGGGACUUACUGCUGAAAUCCCAUAAAUGAAAUCUCCGUUUUUCGAUGAAUCCAUUGGCCUUUUGUCGGCAUUGAUCAUGGCUCUAAUUUUAUCCGUGGUGAAAGCUUUAAUUAUGGGGAACACAUCAUGUGUCAUGCUUAAAUCCCCCAACUGAAUGUUGUCUAGAUAGAAAACCUGAGAUACAUGCCGAAAAACAAAACAACAAAAAACAAUAUUAAUAACCCGUCGUUUAUCAGAUGCGUAUACUGUAACAUCAGCUGUGUGCUGAUGAAGUAAUGAGGUAUCUGAAACGUCUUGACCUGUAGGAAGAGCAGACAUCCUGUUAUGUUCGACACCGUGGCUUUCCUGCUAAUAUCUUGUUUCAUCUUAACGGCGGCUGCGCACAGUACUUCAACAAUAUAUCUUCCCCAAUUGAACUUAUCCAAGCUAUCCGGGUCGACCAAUGCUGGCCAAUAAUCAGUGUAGAAGUAGUCAUUCUUGACUGUCGGUGCAAAUACAUGUGUCAUCAUGAAUACGAUGUACGCAGUUUUGAAUGCAACCACCUCUGUUUGUGACAUCUUCCCCUUGUAGUCACGUGACAGUAUGGACUGUAUGCUCUUCAGACUUCUUACCUCCUUGUUCUCUAUCCCCAAACGACCACGCAAGUAUGCAUAUACAGUGUCACUCCUAUCAAGAGUUUUGUCCAUGAUAUCUGUUCCAGCUGCCGGGAUUCCGAAUACCUUCUCAACAUCACUCUCAUUGAACUUAAAAACCUUAUUCGGUCCCAGUACAAAGGCUUGUCUGACCUCAUCCACCAUCCCUAGAAGCCAGACCAUAUGCCUGACGCUUAGUUUGCUGAUCAGAGGCAUGUGUAGAGUGCCACCCCAACCCAUAGAGUUAACGAUUUCUCGUUUCUGCUGGUCAAGCUGCGAAAUAAUAGAGUACACCUUUUGAAUUGAACAUCUGAAAGUAGGGCCAUUAUACCCGUCGCCCCUGUCUGUUUCGUCCUCUUCAACGAUUGUGGGCAGCUUGUUGAGCUUGCUGUGGUUCUGCAGAUUCAGAGCAUUGGUCAAAUGUAGAACUCUUGAUACGGAUAAACAAAAACGUUGAUUUCUUUUCUACGGCUGUUACCCAACAAACACCUUGGCGCAUCCCAUCUAACAAAAAAGGCUAACUACAAAACCUUGGUACUUCUAAAACUGCAUCAGUAUCAGCUACCCUGCACUAUCCAAUCAGUACAUAAUGUGCAUAUUGUUUUGCAUCCCCGGAUCCCAGUAUCAACAGUGGGAGAUUCAAAUAUUAAGAUUACAUGCCAUCUUACCUGCAUAAUGGCUGAUUAUUGACAAACACCUGACGCUUAUUUGCUUCCCCAAACCUGACCCUAAUCUUGCCUGCAGAAGAAACAAAUCCAUGAAUAAUCUCAAUCCUGGUAUGCGCCCCAUCCCAAAAAACAUCCAGACCAUCUAUAAAACCUAUGCGAUUAGCUGAAAUCACAAGUUUACCUGGUGUAGCUCCGUUCAAUGGCUGGCGGCGCGAGAUGACCUGGGCGGCGGUGCCCGCCGCGGCCCGGCACUGGUCGUCCCCGGCGGCCCGCCCGUCCCGGCGACUCCUCUUUCACCAGGCACUCCUGCCUCCCGCAAGGAUUUGGCUUCAGUUCAUGCUCUGCCUUCCUUGGAUCCCCCUCCCCCGCCGCCUAGCAUGCUCCUAGAGGUACGAGUGGGGACGCAGAAAGAGCUUUCUCACGGGCCGCCUCCCCCCGUGUCCGAUAGUGUCUGAACUUUUCUCUAGCUGAACAGUACCCUAGGCUAUGAAAUAGGCAUAUCACGGGCGACGGGUACUACUAACCCACCCGAUGUAACCGUGGCCUGGCCAUCUUACAGUAAAGGCUGACGCAUAUCCCGAUGUAUAUGGACGACCCGGAUAAGAGGGCCGGGGUGCAGCUGUUCUAUUUUAUAUGUUCGCCCGGGGACGCGGAUUUUUCGAACAGUUGCACCGGGGCCGCGCUAUCGUAGCGGUCGAAGCGACGCGCUUUCCCUCGAGAUGCCCACCGCAUGAUAGCAAUUUAGUGCAUGUAUUACUGUGUCAGACUUCUGUCACGGAUCCUGUCGUCGUAGGGUAACAGCUCUACCGCAUCCUCUGUAUUUUUUUGUCUCUACCCGACCCCUUGCAUACCGACGCGGCCCGUGAGCACGGCUGGUAUUUCUCCCCUAUACAGUGCACUGCUCGGUCUCCUAAGUCUUCGCUGUAAUGGAUUGGGUGCAAGGAGGCGAGUCAAUGGCGCCGGCGCUCGCCGCACCGGGAAUCUCCCCGACGGCCGACUACAGGUACGUAUCAAGACUGGAUACUGGUGUACUAAUCACAACGCUCGUCCGGGAUGCGUUAUAGUCGACUUCUUAAGAUUCCCCAAGCGAGUUUCUGAAUCCCCUCUCCUUCUUGUUCCUGAGCCGGAGCACAGAUCCAACCAAGCCGCCGGCGACCUGUCCUCUGCAAUCAUGCCGAUCGAUGGAGGGUUAUCGGGGUCGGAUCUAUCGUGGCGUCCAGCCAUCCAGGAUAUCGCGCGAGUCCCAGACGAAACGCCAUACUCCAAGUAAGUUUAUCCAUCUUCAGUGUGUCCGAUCCACAAAAUCGCAGUAUUGAGCUCAUGUAUGUCCUCCUAAACUUUUGAUCUCAAAUUUUCAGUGCACACAUAGGGCUAGUAACGCCUCCGGCCACACUGAAGGGCGCGAAUGCAUGCGCCUACAACUCAGAUUUUAAUCCAGAUGUACGUGAUGAUGAUUCUGGAAGUGUUAUAGUUGUGCCUGGAUGGAAGAAACGGUAAACACAUCCGCCUACACAGAUACACCAUUUAUUCAGAACUGGGUGAUUCGCAUGUCACAACGUUGAAAAAACAUAAGUUGUCAUAAAUAUUUCCGAUAAUCGAGCUUAUUUUCAUAUUAGGAAGUCUGUUAAUGAUAGUUUUUCAAAAUGAAAUAAUAAUGUUCGGAUGUUGCCUGGUCGUAGUCGCGAUAAUACUACCAUUCCACAUCAUUAAACAAUUUUAAUAUGUAUUUUUAGCUGGGAUAUUAUGAUUUGUCGUAAUGAUAACAGAUUGCUUACAUUAUAAUCAGGAAUGUUGGGGCUAAUGGCCCUGACACGAGGACACCUCCGUCCACAAAGACGGCCAUCGAGCUACGUCUGCUCGAAAUGAAUGAUCGUAGAGGCAGUGAAAUCUUCGAGCCAGUGGUCGGAACCGACUUCGACUCAUGUCAAGAAGCAUAUGAUUUCUACAAUUUGUAUUCGUGGGAGCACGGAUUCGGCAUUCGGCGUGGUAGAAGCAGAGUUAACACAAACAAGUACAAGUUGAUGCACGAACUUGUUUGUCAAUGCGCGGUAUGUAGUAACUUCGUGGUCAUUCUUUUCCCAUCAAGAUUCUGUUCUCUACUAUAUUUCCAUGUGUGUCUGACCCGCUUUCACAUGUCGUGGAAAAAUUAUACAGGGAAAAAUUGACAAAGAAAACUCGUCAUCAUGCAAGAUCGACUGCAAGGCUAUGGUGAGAUUGCUGCGUACCAAGGAUCAUGGAUGGUACGUCAGUAUGUUUGUCAAGGAGCACAACCAUCGUUUGUUGGUUGGAUACGAUGCAAAACUCCAGUGGAAUUCACACGAUUUCAUAGACCCCGUUUCAUUUGACUUCAUCAAGAAUCUUCGAAGCAAUAAUAUCAGUGUUGGCAAGGUUUAUAACAUUUUGUGUGGAGCAGAAUGGAAUUCGCAAGCAAUUCCCUAUAGGAAGCAAGUAUUACGAACACUAUGUGCCAAAUUCUCUCAGGACACAAUGAAAGAUGAUCUGACAAAAACCAUGAAACUUCUGCAAGGUAUGAAGAUGGAGGACAUGAAUUUGAAGGUUGAGAUAGACGUAGACGGAGAUGGUCGUGUCCGUACAAUGCUAUGGGUAACAGGAAAAAAUCGUCAGGACUAUUUUCACUUUGGUGACGUCGUUACCUUCGACACAACAUACAAGACCAAUUUGUAUAAUAUGCCGUUUUCCUUGUUUGUCGGGGUAAACAACCACUUCCAGUCUGUUAUAUUUGGUGGUGCACUAAUGCGAGAGGAAACUGAAGCUGCUUUUAAUUGGCUGUUUAAGACUUUUGUGGCUCUGAUGAAUGACAAGCAUCCCGUGACGAUCCUAACAGGUAUUGGUUAAUCUAAUUAACACACCUAUUUGAUCACAAAAAUCCUACACAUCAUGAUUAGCCUGUGAUCUCAUGUUUAUAUAUAUGUGCAUUUGUUCAUCUUUCAGAUCAAGCUUUAGCUAUGAAAGGUGCGAUUGAGAGUGUUCUCCAGAACACUAAACACAGAUGGUGUAAAUGGCAUGUCCUCCGGGACGUUAAAGGAAAUAUUGGCCAUGUGUACAACAAGUCUUCUGGGUUCAAGAAGGAAUUCAACAAGCUAGUCAACGAUGUGAUGUGUGUCGAUGAACUCGAAUCCAAAUAGUUGUCCCUCGUGAACAGGUCCAAUGUCAGUGAUAAUUAGUAUAUGGUCAGACUAUAUGAUAAGAGGGCCAUGUGGGCAGAGCCGUAUUUCAAGGGAAUUUUUUGUGCUGGAGUGACAAGCACACAGCGUAGCGAGAGUGCUAAUCAUAUGCUGAAACAGUACAUACCGAGGUCAUCCCCCAUGCACGUGUUUGUUCGCCAAUACAACAAAUUCCUUGGGUCAAGGAUGAGCGAUGAGGCAAGGGAAUUCCAUCUAAAUGCAAAUGUAAGACCCACGACUCCGUUUACAUCUCAUUAUCUAAUAUCAUUAUGAAUUCUGUUAGUCGGUUUGCUAACGAGCCAUCGUUUGUGUGUAGAAAUCACGUACUUAUGAAUCCACAUGCAAUAGAGGAUGAUGCUGCAUCAAUAUACACACGUUCUGUUUUGCUGAAGUUCCAAGACGAGCUUUAUAAGUGUGGGAGUUAUGUAGUGACACCUGUGGUGCACGGUGCACAAUACAUGGUUAGUGUCACACCAUCCAAAGUAAAGGAUGCAACAAAGAGGAAGUGGAGAAAUGUCAAGAUCGAUGACGACAGGUAGUUCAUAAACUUCGAUUGUGGGAUGUUCGACCAUGUCGGUAUGUUGUGCAGACAUGCAUUGAAGGUAUAAUGAUGUCCGCACUGGUAUAAUGCGUUCUUUCCGUAUGGUUAUCUAUCCCAUAUUAAUAGCAAGUCCGUAAGAUAAGUAGUUGUAACCAUUCACCCCGUGCAGGUAAUGAUUCGUGAAGAUUUUCUGAAGAUCCCCUCUAAAAAUAUUUUGAAGCGAUGGACUAUAUGGGCAACCGGAUCUUAUCCAGCAGGCAUGGACAUGAGCGAUAACGGGCCACAUACAUAUGACACUAGAUAUCUAAAGAACCUCCUGCAUAUUGCUGUCGAGGAUCUCAUGAAUGCGAGUUCACAUGAUAAGAAGAGUUUAGAAGCUGCGGUAGAAGGGAUGGGCAAACUCACAGCUGCACUACGGAAGAACACUAGUAUGACUGAAACCAUCCAUCGUCUGGAACCGCCACACAUCGAGAGUUUCGUCAACAUCCACGUCAACACGGUUCUCGCUCCUGAACGGGUGAAAAAAAGUGGAAGGCCAGCGUCCGUGAGUCCUAAGUCAAAGAUGGAUUAUGCUGCAGCAUCUGCUAAGAAGAAAACUAAGAGUAAUAAAACUGCGAAGAAAAAGCCAUGUGGUGAGUUGAAGCCAAGGGAGCGUGCUCUAUCUUCCUUGUAUGAUAAUGACCAGACUACAGAUACCCCGUCUAAGGAGUUAGAAGAUGAAGUAUCGCCAAAUAUCUCCAGCAAGAAGAGGAAGGUAAUAUCUAGCACAUGCCACGAGCCUGGACACACACGUCUGAAAUGCACCAGAAGAGGCAUUGCACAAAACCUGUUCGAGUGCCUUCAAUUAUAAUCACGCCUGAACCUGGGCAAGUUGUGCACAAAGUUGUAUUUGUUUGUACUACUCACAUGCACGUUGGUGAAUGCUUCUUACCCAGAUUAGUUGUAUGCAUGGAACCAGUUUAGAUGUUGUCAUUGUAUUAUUGUUAAAAUUAGAUGUCGCAUUCUAGCGUUGUCUGCUUUGCACGUAUGCUUUUGUACGCUACGCCUAUAUUCAAAAUGCUUGAAAGUGCACAGCUUUAAUCGGGCACGUGUAGUGUGAAGCAAACGUAUUCUAAGUCUGCUUAUUUCAUAACAGCAUAUAAACUCAUCACAUUCGAAGAUCAUAUUUUCCUUAUAAUAUUUCGUAAAUUUACUUCCUGUACGAUCUUAUUUGCUGGAUCACUUUGUAGUAAUACACGCAUGUUUUAUGCCGCAAUUGUACGUGGAUGCCAUUAAGGUUUGCCGAUAUGUUAAAUGUUGUCGUCAUGAACCAUGUAUUUACGUCCCUAUGCGUGGAGGUGGAUUGUGCUACAAUUCACAUCCGCUUUGUGAUUUACAUGGUUUAAAUUUACUUGCCUCGAUGUGAACUAUCUGUUGGUACAUAAUGCUAAAAUGUUGCAUGAUGCAGGUUGAAAAUGUAUGAUGGCAAAAAGAUGGCACCCGACGCAUUGCCAUGAUAUAGAUCGUUGAAGGCACGACCAUGCUUACAGGAGGUAUGUAUGCCGUCGGUGGUACCAUAUACCACGAUCUUUUCAUUUACUAAUAUUAAUAUUUACCGAUUCAACAUGAUUUGCGUUUUGUGUUCAUAUGUUUCGUCCAGUACUGGGCUGCUGAUCAUGUUAGAUUUUACAUAGACCACGUUUUACUGCAUGUUCGUAACAACGAUAAGAAUAAGCCAAAUAUUUUACACUUGUAGCCACGUUGUUAUUAAAAUAAAACCAUGAGCGUGGAGACGUGCAACAAACUUAAUUGUCGAUAACACUCUCUCGAGAGAACAAAAAACACAUAAUGAUCGAAACAAGAAUACCCCAACAGUGUGAUCGAAACACAUAAUUAACUUGAUGUUCGUACCGACACACAUACUUAAGUACCAAAUACAUGGAUAACGACAUAGGCAUAAGUUCCAAACCAGACCAAAUCGCAAAGCCGGUGCAUCAUAAGGCAUCCGGUACAUAAUACGACAUAACCGAUAUAACUAAGACUUGAUGAUGAACAACAUCAACGUGCGAUCUUGAAGUCGAUCACCGAUGGUACCACAUAAUAUAGCUAAUAUAGAUAAUGGAUAUUGUUGACGCCUCCAUUCUUAACAGAUCACUCCGUGAAGCUUGCCCCGUCGAUCAUGUUCUCAUUUUACUCCAUGGUCAGCAGAAGGUAUGCGAGUGCUCUCACGAACCUCUUCAUAGUCUGCGUGAAACCACGAUGACAGAAUUUUAGAUAGAUAGUGUUGGAUCAAAGAAUGACAUGAGAAGUAAAGGUUUGGCUUAAUGAGGAUGAUUGUUCACUAAUAUACCUUGUCUCCAUGUUUCGGGACCCUGGUGUCACCGAAAUGCCAGCAUGCAUAUGCCGCCUCCAAACCAGUGUAUCCACUGUGGAAUAAAAAUGCAUUUAUUUCAGAUAUCAACUAAUUUAAAGCAUGUAUAUUUGAUCUGCGAAAACAUCAUAUGAUGUUGUAGACAGUACCGUUUGAUCUCUUUUCUCCCAUGCCAUCCCGGUAAGAACUCCCAGUCUUUAACGUCCCAUUCCGGUUUUCCCCUUAUGAGCUCAACAGAGUAGUAUAGCGAUUUUAGAAUGGUUUCAGCCUUGUCUUGGUGCCUUUCAGUCAUAGUCCUGCACGACAUUGUUGUGCAAUCCACCAUGUAUGCCUUCUUUGAGUUUGUGUCAUAAACAUAUGUCAUCCAUAUAUCAUUCUCCUUGUGCGGUAUGACGAACUGCACGAUUCACAUCGAUCAUUCCGGGUUUAAGAGUUGCCCCGCAUCAUAAGAAAAAGUUUUUGUAUUAUCUAGAUGUAAUGACUCGUGAGUACCUUAUCACAGAACUGCGGGUUAUGAGUCUCCACACCACCAAUAUUAAACAUGGACAUAACAUAGUAUAGCGGGAAAUUGCCUCCGUCCUCUUCUAUGGCGAUUUCCUGGCAACCAAAACAAAAUAAUGUACGUUAUUAGACGAAGCAUUAGGAUCAACAGAAUAAAGCAAAACGUUGCUUGCAUCCUCGUCUACCAUAUAUUUCUAUAUAUGUGGGACGCCAUAUGGAAUUACACUUACAGCGAAUUCAGGUGGCAGAAAAUGCGUGCACUGGCAAUUAGGAUUGUUCUUUCGGUGGUCCGACUUGUCCUGAAGCUCGUUAUACAAGCAUGCUAUGGCAGCAAAAGUUUUCUUAGUCACAUCCGACUGCUCUGUCAACUCAUUUAUGAGAUGCUCCCCAGCAAUGAUCUCAGAUACAGGAUACAUAAUUCUGAUAUAAGACCUGACACAAUCGAUUGAAUGUAGGAUUAUCAGCAAAUGAUAUGAUUUUGUUAUCAAGUCUACAACUGCACAAGCACUUAAGGUAUACGCACCUGGACGUAUCAGUCAAGGGCCCUGGUUUUACCAGAUAUUGGAACAAAACCUUUGCCCGUUCAUACGGGCAUAAAUCCUUUAGAUUGUGCCAAAUGAUGGGUACUCUGUUAUCUACCAUGAAAAUGUUUUGGUUUGCAACAUGUUGAGUGUUGUCUGGCACGACCUCCUCAAUUCCAAUGUCCGAGGCAGGACCCACAUUGGCGUUUCCAGAUAGAGACCUAGCCAAUGAUCCCCCCACAUUUGAUGCACCUGAAAAGAUAACACAAGCACACCGAUAGUCAAUCGAUGUUGGUUUGGCAUCGGGAGGGGAUGGGGUGGGGUGGGGUGGGGUGCUGUUGUGUUGUGCGGGUGGACUAGUAUCAUGAUUGAUUUUUGUUCUGUGAUCUUACCAUCGUCGAUGCUGUGUGUCACCGUAAUGCUGGGUGGCGCACCGCGGUUUAAAGCCGGAGAUGGAUAUAUACCCCUCUCGGCGGCUAUGGACACCAUGGUUAGAAUGUUGAGCACGUCUGUAUGUCAAGUACAAGAGAUUCAUGACCAUUAAUAAAAUGUAUACAAAUACAACCGUGUAACUGGUGCAACACGGACCUAUUGGCCGGAUAUUGUUGAGAUGGGGUGGUGACGGAUUGUUUAAGUGAGUUUAAAUAACAAGACACUCGUAUAAAAUCAUUACAGUAUGGUGACUAUCGCUUGUGAUAUGAUAUAUUAUUACGGGUGUACAAACAGGGUAAUUCAUGCUAACUAUAAGUUUGUGUAUGAAUGUUUGUAAUGAUUAAAUAAAGAGUAGGUUGAAUUGAUUUUUAUUUAUACACGUCUUUGAUGGACCUAACAACAUACGUUCAACCAUUAUAUUUCGGUAUGGUCCAUAUUGUUAUAAUUAAUGCAGGGGGCAUUUAUGUUUCAUAACAGUAAACUUAAUGGGGACUCACCAUCCGGCAUUGGGUUGGGGACGCCCGGUGGGACGCCACGUGAAGAGACAUCUUCUCCACCAGCGAUAUCAGCCGGACGCUCAUUCGUAUCCAUCAUAUAUAUGUGGCCCGCAGCAUUCAUACGAUAUGUAUUGUCAUGGCGACGAUUUACAGACCCCCCAUUGUUACUUGGUAUCACAGGAACCGCAUCAGCAUUGCCGAAAUUAUUUUCGGUGCAAUCCCCUGCAGGUGCAUUUUCAUUUUGGCGAUCUGAUUCGUGUCCCGGUUGGACGCUACGAGUGUCAUCGCGUGCAGCAACAUCCUGGGCAACGUCUUCUCGAAUGUGUUCGUCUGGCCAUGUGGAUUUUCAGGAUAAACUUAUCAAUAUGAUCAACAUGGUUAUUGAUACUGAAUGCAUAAAUCAACUGUUACACGCAUCAUUGCUUACUAUGCAUACCCUGUAUGUCUUCUGACAUUGCAGGCACCAUUGGCUCUUCAAAGCCAGUAUGGUCCAGAUUCGCAGCUUCAUUCUCGCAUACUACACGGGGCGCCGUUGGUAAAUCAUCUGCGCCAUUCAGAUGCACAUAUGAACGAUGUUUGAUUUAGUAUGACAGGUUAUCAACACAAUCGUCCCGGAAUGAAGUUGGGCACUAUGUUUACCUUCGGCUAUAUGUGACACACGAUCUAUAUGUUGAUCAGUUUUUCCUGCUGAUUGUUCAAUUGUGGGCUGACUCAUACGCAUUAACAUAUAAUUGAGAGCUGCAAAAAAAUUGAUGGCCUUGUGUUAUUGCUCGGUUGCAUCAAGAUAUAUUACUUUAUCAGAACGUUUUGGUAUUUGAAGUUUGUGUUUUACCACCGUUUUGGGAGCCGUCAUCCGUGGGAUUGCUGGCAUUCUGAUCAUUCGCACGAUCUGUCGAAAUAACAUCAUACAAUUUUGGUUAUCUACAAGAUUUUGGUCUGGGGUUUGAAUCAAUAAUUAAUGCCGAUAUCUAAGUCGCAUUAACUGACCUGCAUUCUGUUCGUUGCCAUCAUCAGGUAGCACAAUAGGGAAUGUAGCAGUGCCAGGAACUUUUGGCAAAUGUGUCACUUUUGCAUGUGCGGCCCUUCCUGUAAUUUUACGAUCAUUUAGUUCUCAAUACCGAGUACGUGAUGGUGUUUCUGCAUUAUGCAUAAGGCAUACACAAGUUCAUACUUGAAUGAUAUUUGAAAGACAGCUUGGCCUUCAGCCUAGAAUAAUUGCUAGUGUUGCAUCCGUCGUAUGAGCUGUAUUCCCUCCUAUUGAACUCUGUACAUUUGCAUACAAUGAUUUGGUAAGGUCAGUUCGGAUGGAGGUGAUAUUGCACUAAAUGUUCACUAACUGUUUCCUUACUAAAGUAAACAUGGGAAAGUUUUACACGAGUAUUAUAUUAAGUCAUUCCGAGUUACCAGUCAAUAUCGCAUUAUCUUGAGAGAACGUUUUUUCGUAAGUGGCGUCCAUAUUGAGUGGCCUUUUACCUGCGCCUAUUUAAAAUGUCGUGUUAACCCAUGAUCAUAUAACGUCUGUAUCAUGUAAACACGUGGCAAAAAUAAAUUUGAGAAAUGAAAGCCAACACAAACUUGUACUUACUUUCUCUCGUUCUAACUUCCAGGUUUGGGAUCCGUCGGCGAGAAGUAUUUUCGCAGUCGGUCGGCUCGAUCAUGUGGACCGGACGUUUUGCUGGGCAUGUAGCUACACGCUUGCCUAGUACUGCAUCUCCCAAUCCCGGAAGCAAUCCAUCCCUGAUGAGCAUCUUCAAGGCUGCACCAGCUACUUUUGUUGCUUUCUGUAUCCAAAAUCACGUUAUGAGUUAUGGAUCUUGUUUGCUAGAAAAUGCUUAAAUGGUUGUUAUCAUAAUUCGGAAGCCAGAAAGGAAUAAAGGGAAAAUAUUUUUGCUGGUGCAUGGAAUAAAACAUAAGAAAUUUUGUGUUUUGUUCUGUGAAUUUGAUGCGGGAAGAGUAGUACCUUGUCAUAAUCAGAAUCGUAGGAUUCAUGAUCGUCUGUGCUAUCUCGCGUGAUUUCUCGGUUAGGCGUCAAGCUAUUGUCCGAUGCCCCAAGGCGCGCUCUGUGAUCUCCUCCUUCGGCUUCAUCUUCUGGCUCUAAAAUGCGAGUACGUAAGAACUGAAAUGUCAAGAAACAGUCGGUCAGUAAGUAUCGGAAUCAUAAAAUGGUUUGGCGUGACAAAAUUCUCAGCAAGGUGGUCCAAAAAUGCAAACGACAUUAUACCUUGCGUAAGCCGUAUUUGUGAAGUAGGCCUGCCCUCCUGUGGUAUUUGGAUGAGUUAAUCAUGUUCUUCAUUACCGUCGGGUUGUAUGCUGCCAUGCGAGGAUCCUUAGACUCAUCGACUCGGUCAUUGGUGUUUCGGACCAGUUCCAUGUAUAAAGCCUGCGCACAUACGAUGUUAUAUAUACAUGCCUAAAAGGUGCAAACGAUUUGAACCGUGGACGUACACUAGGGGAGUAUGAUUGUUGUUACCUGAAGGUACAAGAGACAUCCCUCGACUGUCACUUUAGUCUUCAUUGCUUACCGUUCUUGGAUUGUGAUGGGAGCUUUCUGAAAUAUGAAGUCAACCCCGUACUGAGCCCAGUUGUACUGCUUGAUUCUUGAGACGUCUUUUAUCGCUUGAAGAACUUCCCUUGGUACAUCCUCGCUUGGCGCUACAACACUAGUGAUGACGAACGCGACGAAUGCACGUAGGAACGUCUCGUUCUGCGAGUAGUCCAUCUCUUUCCUUGCCAUGGCCUCCAGCACCCUACUGCAACGGUGUCUCUUGGACAGUGAUGCAAACUGCAAACAGCCGAUAGAGCAUGCAUGAGUCGGCGACUACCAAUGAAAUCAAGGUUGCAUUUACUACAUGCAUGCGAACACAGUUAUACACAUACCAGAACCUUGCCGUCCUCGCUAAGAUCGCCAUCUUGAGACAUGCAUGGCUGGAUGAUGACAUCUCCGCUUGGCACGCCCAUGAUCUUGCUGAACGAGCUCGCGCCUAUCGGCGCCGAGUUCGAAUGCCCAUCGACUAGAGCCUUGUCGAUGACACGAACCAGACUCACCAAGAAGACUGAGAAUCGUCUAUCAAGCUUGUCACACUCCGGGAUCUCAAGAAUGCCGUCAAACCCUAUGGACCUGAUUAGGCCCAUUUGGUACGACGUCAUUUUGUCGAUCACACGGCGGAGAAGCUUGAUGUUCGCGCUGCUGAAGUUGGUUUCGAUCUUUGUCGGAUCGUAGUGGUAAGUCGACUCGGCCAUGGGGUUGCUCAUCGCGGGGGCUUGAUGAAGGUCUCUGGUGGAUGGGUUUGACUGGAAGCUUUCGUUCGGCGAUGCAGCCGAUUCAGACUGCAUCUCUCUUCUCUCCCGGAGAUGAGCUCCAGGAGACCUCAAAUGGAUGGAAUGCCUGCAGGCUUGCGGUGGGCUGGGUGUGUGCCAAUGUAUAUGUUGUUCGCUUGGCAACCCUAAGGGACUAUAACAUUUUCAAAUGGAGGCGGACCCUUAGACUUCUGCAGCUAUGCUAGAACUCUAUGGUCAAGUCACUGUUUAGAUCAGAAUCCAGUUUCUCCAACGCAGCGUCCCACCUCCUGCUACCUGUUUUGUCUCUUGUACAUGCUCGUGAACCGGCGAUGCCGGAGGCGCAAGCCGGGUAGCCAGCACUCCCUAGACGUAUACGGUUGCUUGCCAGGGUUGGAAAAACGCCUUUUUCAUGGCUCUGUUGGGCACAUCGAUUCCAUAACCUUUGAUGUGCAUGGCCAAUGCAAACAUGUACAUCCCGUCCUUGCCAUGGUAACCACAGCACAAAACGUACAGGGCCAUUGUGUAGUACAAGUAGUACAACCCGCCAUCCAGUGACAACGUAUCGCCCGGCCGGAUUGCCGGCUUAAGUGUUUUACUGACUAACGUAUAGGUAUACGAGAAUGCAUCGGGACCUUACGAGUGUGGCUUAGGCAUCGAAGCGCGUGUGUACAGAAUGAUUCGGCAUGCGCAAUCGAUUAGCCAUCCUGACGCAUUAAAUGACCUGACCUGGAAUGCUCACUAUGCAUGGUUUUACGAAGGUCAUCUUGUACAUAUCCCAUGUAUGCAUAUAGUGGUCAUUGGUGUGUUAUGCCAUGAUGCACCAUAUGUAAAUAUUACAUAUAAGUACUGUAAAUUUGUGUGCGAUUUGAGUGUAUCAUCCAGGGCCUGACUUUUUUUAUACUUACUGUGUACGAUUUGUAUGCGCGCAAUAACUCAUGCAAAUCUUGUUGCAUGCCUUUUGCCAUACACAUCAUUUAUUUUAUGAUAUAGAAAACGGCCGCAAAUUAUUUAAAAGCCAAAUUCCGACGGGCGCUGUCUUAAGAAAUCAAGUUUGUUGAUUUUAUUUUGUUUUGUUUUGCCGUCAUAAGAAGUAGAAAUUGGUAUACCAUCCAUGGUGGACUGCAUGGAGUAAACCCCUCACUGAUGCCGCUUUGACGGCUUGUGUUGGAGGAUGCACCGAAAGUUUUAAUGUUGUGCCAAACCACGGAGACAGGGGGCGUGGUAGUGGGGUGUGUCGGGAAAAUACCCCGCGACUGAUAUCCAGACCAUUAAGCUCGGAGGUUAGUACCCGCCGAUGAGUUCAUUAGGACAAGAGCAGUCUUAUGUCACAUAUUAACGAUUAACCGGGAACUUCCUCCAUCCAUGUUUGGUACGGUCCACAUAUGCCCCCCUCCCCCACAAGUAUAUUUUGCCUGUACCCGCGGUUUAUUUCGAACACUAGCACCUGGGCCGCGUUGUUAUGCCAUUCUAAGCCUUGCACUUUACCUUUAGAUGGAUUGUCGUUAAUCCCACCCCAUGAUGGUUCCUGUGUAUAUUGUUUACUUGCAUCCGUUCCAUCAUUGUCACAUUGCGACGGCUAGAUUGCCAUCACAUUUUGGGCAUUUCAAAAAACGUAGGCAUUUGGCAAUGGGUGUUAUUUUUUUUAAGAAUCGUCAUUUGUCGCUGGUUUGUGCUCAUGCAUGUUCUCCCCGACAGCACUUCGCAUGUUGUACGUGUUAUCAUGUGCCGGACGAUCCAAGUAUAAGUAUUAUCAAAACGGAAAAUGGUGGAUGCCACAAAUGCCACCCGACCAUCUCUGGUUGAUCGUGGCAAUGCUGUUGUCUUGACCGAAGGUAUUGUUAAUGGUUUGGGAUUGAUACAUGUACCAACAAUCAUCCACGGUUAAAUAUGCAUCAAGUUAUUGAAUGUGGACCCUGUGUUGUUCGUUUAUUGCAUCGAUGCUUUUUUUUAGUCCACAUCCGCGCGACAAAAUGUGAAACUGCAUGGAGUAGAACCGUCACUGAUGCCUCUUCAAUGGCUUGGUUGGAUGGUGAACCAACAGUUAUGAUCCCGUGUCAAACUAAGAGGACAGGGGGCGGGUCAGAGGGGGGGAUGUCGUGAAUAUACCUCUCAGAUGAUAUCCCGACCCUUAAAACCCAGUGGUAAACACCCACCGAUGAAUUCGAUAGGAGAAGAGCAUGAAUACGCUUGAUGUAGCCGGGUUACGGAAGCCCAUAAGAUUGCUAUGCAUGGGUAGCAAGGUCCGACCAGUCCAGCAAAGAACUGUUCGAAGAGUCACGACCAAACGGAGGAAGCAUGACCCCGGCAAAUGUCAAACCUGGCCUGGGUUGUUUGGUGCGGCAGAUAAUAUGGGUGACCUUUCUAGUGCGGAAUAAGACCGAACAUGGGGGUGGCCCGGCGGAAUAUUUUUUUUAAUUUUCCAAUCAUCCCCUGUUUAAUAUAUGUAUUGUAGUUGAAAGAGUCUUGUUAUAGUCAUUUUGAAUCAUGAUGUACCAACAAAAGUGAUAUGAGUACUCAGGAAAAUGGUUGACACGAAAAGCAACAUGUUGAGACAUGUAUCUGUCACAUUGGGAUUGUUAGGUUUACACGCCAGCCGAAGACACAUGAGUUCUGGCAAUGCAAAAAACGAAUAAAAGUGUUUAGCACAUUUGCAGCAAACUCAAAAAUGGACUAUGUACGUUGCACGGUAAACGUGCAUAUAGCUAACCUGUCAUUGCCGCCCCAUCAAUGCCUUGUGUGGUAGGGGGCACCUAUAUGUGCCAUGCAAUGGCAGCAACGUAUGGUUAUGGGGCGGGGAGGGGGGAGGAAUGUCGGUGGUAUAACGUGUGUAGUACCAACCGGCUUGUAAGCCUAGUGGGCAGUACCCACUGACGGACACAAUAGAACAAGAGCCGUCGUAUCAUUAUGUCUGGUAACGCCGUGUUACGUAAGCCUGGAAGAUUACAUUGCAUGAUUGGCAAGACCCGACAAUGGAAGCAAGAAUUGUCGGAGGAGGCACGACCAAACGGAUGGAGCAUGACUAUGCAGAUGAUAAAACUCGGGCGAAGUUGAAUGGUGUAGAAGAUGAUACGGGUGACCACUCAUAGGUACUACGUGCCUCAACAUGGGGGUGGCUCUGUAUAAUAGUUUCUUUUUGCGGAAAGAGUAAGAGCCGGGAUGUAUCGCGGUUGUGCAUUAAAAGUCGGAACGUCAACAACCAUAUGAUGUGUGCAACCGAAUGAAAUACCCCAAAAACUAUUUUUAACUCCUCAACCACAUAUAAGAUGAAACCUAUUAUCAUUUCUGAAUAGGUCGAUGAAUCAUGCAUCGUUGGUGUCCGGUAUGAAGCUAACAACUUUGGUGUAUCGUUUGAUUUAUACAUACGACAUGCCCGGCUAUGAUCUAUCAAAUCAUUUGUAGUGAGCUUGCCAGGGCGUAACAUUUUUUGCUUAAUAUCCGUUUGAGAAUACAUAAAAAUUGUAAAUCAAUCGUCAUGUAGUUAUAUGAAAAACGGGAAAAACGACAACUUUCAAAUGAUACAUAUUUAAAAACACGAUAUCAUAUCAAACACCAUUCGCACCUAGUGACAUGCGUUCUAAAUGAUCAUAGGCGUUGAUGUACCGCGUUUUACUCGCACACACUAACAACUAACCCUGAUAUGAUUUAUACCCAAGCACACCAAAUGGAUCCACCACAUAAUGAUCAUCCGACCGAUUAGGUAAAUUGUGCAUACGAUCUACUUAUUUGACAAACACUAGCACUGGAACGGCCAGUAGUAUGCAGCAGCAUAUCAUCUUGAUGGCCUGCAAGCUCCCUUCUAUUUCUUUUAACUUACGGUGGAGCUCCACCAUUGCUCGUGCGGCUUCAACUUCACGCUGGUUGACCGCUUGCGACGUCACCGCUACAGCCUGGCCAGUGCCGUGGCCCAUCGAGCCUGCAUCCGUGUUGCGGUUCAGGAAUGCACGGAGAUAGACCUUCUCUGACUUGAAGAAACCACAUCCGUCCGGCCUCCCCUACAGUAUCACAACGAAACUACUACUCGGUCAAGGGGGGAAUCAUUAUGGAACCAAUUAUGCAACAAUAAAAUGAAUGUUUAUAGCAUCCUAUCUAAGACGUGAGAGCACUCUCAGGAUUUGGUCCACCGCGGAUUGCGGUGGAUAUACAUGCUUAUCGUGUAGUAUGGGCACUUGUAGAAUCGCUACCCUUCGGUCUCGGGCCUCGUUGAAACGAUCAAUUCCACUUGCGUUCUUCCGCAGAACGGACAUGUGAUCAGAGGCAAUGGGGCGCCCGUGUUCGUCCACCCAGCGGACGAACUUGUCGACAUAGCUAUAGAGGCCGAUCAGACGGUGGGAGACUAGAUGAAUAUAUCUAGCUGCGUGGCUUGUAUGGAUAUAUAUAGCCUGCUUGGAUGUGUAUGAUUGCAUAUGCGUUGUGCGCGCCGAAGACAUGCAUGGUAUUUCUUUUCUUUUUGUGAAUGGUAUCUUGUCUCACGGGUGAGAGACUUUCUAUCAUUUCGAUAAAGCAUAUGUUUACUCUAUUGUUUUACCGUGGGCUGACGUUGAUGCAACGCCCCGCACGACGUAUUCACCUCCAUGAGACAUGCUGUAAAAAAAUGGAAUGAUUUAAUAAUUAUAUGGUUCAACUUUGGCACACACGUACGAACCAGCGGGACAUAAGCUUUGGCUUCGACCUACACGCCUUCAUGGUCUUGUUACGCAUGGAAUCUACUUUACCCUGUCCGCGUGCCGGUUUCUGAAAAAAUUGGCAACCGUAACGUCACCUCUGUCUGCGCGUCUUACAUGGCGGAUGGAUCAUUUGUGGAUUGUAUACUCACUCUUCACUCACACUACUGCAGUCCCGCCACAGAAAAUCAAAGGGCAUCUCCGCGCGCUACCACCCGUGGUUCACCCUGCAAUGAUUCCUGCAACGCCAAGUCCCUAUGCCUGUAUAGAUUCUUCUGUAUAUUCCAGCACAGACCUUGCGUACUUAAUGUUUGUUUGAAAUAUGAGCGGGCUGGUUUUGCUUCCGUAAUUGGUACAUACGCUACCACUCAAAAAAGGUCAGUGCUUGCGUGACCAUGUGUUAUACCUAAGAUGAUACGAGGAUCAAUCAUAUGAUUAUGCAUGAGCUAGUCGUAUUACUACAGUAAAAAUCAUGUUGCUAUCCCACGCCCCACAACCGGUGAUUCACAUACUCAUGGCGUUUUCUGGCUACCGAGGUCUCUGAAAAGAGUGGUAAGCGGCAUGGGUCUGUGACGCCGGGCCUCGCUGCCACAUCGUGGUCCGUGCCUUGUCUCGGCUUGUGCGUACCUGAGUGCGCUGCUUCUCACGAGAGAACAGCGCCGCGCCGCCGGCCAAUGCAUGUUAGUCCCACCGCUGGCACCUCCCACCAAGCAGUUAAAAACAAAAGACCCAUUACAAUCCACUCCCCGAUGCAUGCAUGCACCCGUGAGCCCCCGUGUCUCCACCACCCUCACUGAAACUCCUUAAAUGGAUGUGGGCGACCAUUGCAUUUGUACAUCACACGCAUCGCGUCGCACUCAGCCACCACAACACUUUCAUAGUUUUUAGACAUGUCGGCACCUCGUCGCUCCUCGUCCGGACCACGGGGCAGCACGCAAGGCCAGAACGUAGGAUCUGUGAGCAACUCCUAUAUCUCUCGUUCUACGGCUGCUCGCAGGGCCAUGCAAGCUCCCAGCCCGGACGCUCACGGCGAUGGUCAGUAAGACACUUUCGUAUUUCCUACUCACCAUGAUGUACAUACGUGUUUUGCGUUGCCGGGUUAUAACCGUAUUGUGCAUAUUCUUUCAGCUCGCACGUGACGACAUGCUCGUGCCAGUCACCGUCAAGAUGUUAGGCGACGCAUCUGUACGCACAGUUGAUGGCAAUUGUCCGGUUACCAAUGGCUAUUGCCCGUCCACUGUGAUUCCACCGUUCCCAUUUCCGAAUUAUUUAUUGCCGUGCUAGAUAAAUUUACCAAUACCCAAGUCAUUAAAAUUGAUAGGUCACCUUGGUCGGACGACUAAUUACACCAUCUGCCACUGGAAACUCUUAUCGAUUUGUCGUGGAUGAUGGCACCGGCAGGAUCGUUUGCACCUACUGGUAGGUGGUAAAACAAUUCAUAUGUCCCGUUGCUAAAAAUUGUUGUCCACAUAAUAUUACUGAUCUGGUGCUAUCCACAGGAUUGCUGGGCACGGUGGAGACAAUCGCGUCAUGAACAUACCGUACGUCUCGGAACGAUAAACAUUGCUACACAUGUAUAUGACCCGACAAACACGGAACAUUAGUAAAAAUUAGGCACUUGAACACAUUUAGUGUGAACUAUCAUAUUCACAAACGCUUCGCUGAAUGUGAACUAGUGUUGGAGACUAUGUGGAUGUUAGCGGGCGUCCAGACGUGAACUCGAACACCCCUACGAUCACCGUGUUCAGUUGCAGGUGUGCAUGAUUUCACUGAUAUCAAUGGAAUCAUCUUGCUUGGCCAAAAAUGAUUUUCUAACGCAUUUGAUUUCGUGCAGACCUAUUGCUCCGGAUUUCAACCGUAUUGCACUUCACUUCCUGCAAACAAUUUAUGCCUACCUUGAUCUACAGCGUGUACGCUGCAUUCCCCUGUCUUCUUUAGUUUCGUAAUCAUUGUUCAUACUGGAUGAGUUAUAUGUUAACAAUAACAUCUUUUGUUUGUCUUUUAUGCCGUACCAAAAAAACAGCCUCCUCCCGAAACGCUCAUUACGGACAUGUGCAAUUUGCUGGGAGACUACCUCGACACUGGGUAUUUAUUGAUUUGAUUUUCUAUGCGUAUGAUCCAUACUAUGGCUGCCAAUUGCAAAAUGGGAAUAAUUCCAACUGUUUUAUGAUGCAGUGACGAGGGUUUACCCUUCUCGUGGAUCUGCACAGGCACCAGCUUCAAUCAUGUCAUUGUUAGGUAUUUUUCGUUAAAAUGUGUGAAUUCAAAAUAUAAACCCAUAAACGAAAAUAAACAUACAACUAACAUUACAAAUGUGUGGUUAUGUGAAGGAGGGCUUUGGAUAUCCUUGUAUCUCAUGAGUUGGCCACAUAUGACCCUGCGGAAGACAAGUACAGUCUACCAUGAAGUGUAUUCGUCACCGGAGGAUCCAGACCAACAACACGCAAUUAUGAUGCGUGCUAUAUUAAGUCGUGUCAAUAAAGAAAAUGCGAGGGGAGUGUCCGCACACCUGAUCGCCUGAUAGCAUGUCCGGCGUCAUAUCCCCAUCGCAUCAGUGUGGUUUCAUGUUAUAGUUAUGUAACGCUAGUUAAUCUAGAAGUACGUAUUGCGUAUCAGUGGUCAUGUGUGACCCGUGUCUAAAUCGCCUUGUAUCGUUAUUAUUUACUGUUUCGCCUAUGCCUUAUCCCGGCAACAUAUUAGGUGUAUUCGGGCGUCCUGCAUUUUUGGCGUCCGUUAUGGAUUGUAAUGAUGUUUGUCGAAGUUUGAAUAAUGUUGUGUCUCUGCAACUAGCAUCAUUUGUUGUUUUUAGUGGUCACCUUAUGUUCUUCCAACCGAUCGAAGCAGAUCUUGCACAUCCUACAUGCAUGAUCCCGAAGAAAGCCGUUGACCUCAUUGAGAGCAAUGCGGGCGUCUUGGACAAUUCAGGCAGCAUCGUUCAAGAAAUCAAAAGAUGGCAGGCUCGUCAUUCAAGGAGGUUUUCGGAAGUAUGUCGAAAAUCUCGAAAUGAAGUAAGAUGAUAUUGUGGUCAUCACUUUUCACAAACGCGCUGGUUCUGCGUCCAUGACCGUCCGGGUGUGCAUCUUAUCCUAAAACACCUAUGUCGUGCUAGUGUCUAUUUAAGGCAGCUUAUUAGUCCCUAUGUGCCUCCUCGCUAAUCGUGCAGCAUCUCAAUGCCUGCCCUUUUGUGAGAACUGAUGAACCUGGAACAUGUAACCUUCUGUGUGUGGUAUGUGACUAUGUGACUUUUCCACCUAUGCAUGUCCGUU